AUCCAUCUGACGAGUCCCAAACGGGACGAAACGCGUAUCCUGGAC
rnacentral:hammerhead_ribozyme from 1 species